UACGUAGGGUGCAAGCGUUGUCCGGAAUUAUUGGGCGUAAAGAGCUCGUAGGCGGUCUGUCACGUCGGCUGUGAAAACCUGGGGCUCAACUCCGGGCCUGCAGCCGAUACGGGCAGACUAGAGUUCGGCAGGGGAGACUGGAAUUCCUGGUGUAGCGGUGGAAUGCGCAGAUAUCAGGAGGAACGCCGGUGGCGAAGGCGGGUCUCUGGGCAGUAACUGACGCUGAGGAGCGAAAGCGUGGGGAGCGAACAGG
rnacentral:rRNA from 1 species